CCAACGACCAAAGCAAAGGACAGCAGAACUGACUGACACAUUGCUCAGAAAAUAUCCAAAGCUCUGUAUGCUCUGGAAAGGAAGGCAAGAAAUACUAAAGACUCUGGAUAUUGCUCUGUUUCUAUAAGGUCCCACCCAUAUACCAUCUCUUCUUUUGGAUUUCCUUUGGCAGUAACCUGAAGUUAUAUAAGUGGCAUGUUCCCAAGUACAAAGGGAGCCCUUCUAUUGCUUCUGCUUACAAAGAGGUGUCAACCUAAGAAAAAGCCAGAACAAGCCAAAGUUCAGGGUUCCCUUGUAUGGAAGUUCUCAGGAGAACAACACUCUCAGAGUCCCAUUGUCUCAAAGAAUUCUUAAUGGACAGCUAUACUUGGCCCCAAGGUUUCAACCUCAGACUGAAGAAAGUGACAUAAGAAAACACAAGUCCCAGUGCUAUCAGGGGCUAUCUGGAAAAGCUGCUUAAACAGCAAGUGAAAGAAGGCUCUCCCCUACCCCGUUCUAGAUGACAGGUCCUAUGUAAGAUACACAUACCACAUGCUGUCAACCCAUCUGAGACACUCAGCUUUCAAAUGACAGUUCUUCUCUGAAGUUAACCUAGCCAAAAGAGUGAAGUACACUAUCUGUUAAGCUGUGUCAGUAGUUAAGUCUGUGUGUCUAAAUUAAAAACAUACUCACCCUGAAGUUAUUUGAAGGAUCCUUGAGACUCUUUUGGAUUGCUGCUUGGAGAACAUUCCUGUAACUUGUCCCUGCUCCUUGAACUAUAAAAGCAGAAGGGAGGUACUGAGUUAAAACUUAUAAAUUAUUAUCAAAUAAAUCUUCAAUAGUGGU
rnacentral:antisense_RNA from 1 species